CGGGGGGAAACGAGGGAUGGAGCGCGUUUCUGACACACGAAUCCACUCCUGCUCCUGCUGACAGGCAGCCGGCAGAGCUCGGGACCUGCCUGCGGCCCGAAGCCCGCAGCUUGCAGCCUGGCUACCAUGCACAGUCUCCUCCUCCUCCUCCCCCUCGACCUCCAGAUGUCGGAGGCUCCCACCCUGAGCGCUUGGACCCGCCUGGAUCCGGCUGCCACCAGAAUCGGAAAAUUAAUCAACCGGAGAUUCCGAAACUUCAAAAAAAGAUGCCCUUCGGUUUGGAGCCUAAAAAAAAAAAAAAAAAAGGCAGGCACGGAGUUCAACCCCGGAAAUAAGCAUAGCUUCGUCCAGUGAUUUACAAUCGGAAAGAGACCCAUUACAGUCCAGAUUGUACCGGCAAAUAGCUGUUUUACUUCCCAGGAAUCUAAAAUGCGCUUGAAAUUUAAAAAGCGAAAUCAAUAAAGGUUUUGUUUUACAGAA